CGGACGGGUGAGUAACGCGUGGAUAACCUGCCUCACACUGGGGGAUAACAGUUAGAAAUGACUGCUAAUACCGCAUAAGCGCACAGUACCGCAUGGUACAGUGUGAAAAACUCCGGUGGUAUGAGAUGGACCCGCGUCUGAUUAGGUAGUUGGUGGGGUAACGGCCUACCAAGCCGACGAUCAGUAGCCGACCUGAGAGGGUGACCGGCCACAUUGGGACUGAGACACGGCCCAA
rnacentral:rRNA from 1 species